UUUUUUUUUUUUUUUUUUUUUUUUGGGCCACACCCAUGUCAUGUGGAAGUUCCUGGGUCAGGGAUCAAACACAUGCUAUAACAGCCACCCAAGCCGCUGCAGUGACAAUGCCCAAUCCUUAUACCACUGUGCCACAAGAGAACUCCUAUAGCUAUUUAACUUUAUGUAUUUGCUUGCAAAGUCUUUCACUGUUACCAUGGGUAAAUGGUUAACUAAUUAUUUUUUCACAGUGACCUAAGAUCCUACUUGACCAAGUGUUUUAAAAUCUCUUUGAUAUUUUUGACAAACUUCCCCAAAUCAAUUAAAGCUUUUUGAGUUAGAUCUAACUGAGAUAUGAGAUAUUUUAGACAAUCCCUGGAAAAUCUUAGAAGAUUUACUUUCCUUAAAAAAAGAGAGAUGCAGAGUCCCCUUCGUGGUGCAGCAGAAAUGAAUCCUACUGGUAUGCAGGGUUUGAUCCCUGGCCUUGCUCAGCUGGUUAAGGAUCCAGAAUUUCCAUGAGCUGUGGUGUAGGUCACAGGCUCCAAUCUGGCUUUGCUGUGGCUCUGGCAUAGGCCAGUGGCUACAGCUCUGAUUUGAUCCCUAGCCUGGGAAUCUCCAUGUGCUGUGAGUACAGCCCUAAAGGGAAAAAAAAAAAAGAUGCUAAUGUAACUAGGCUUAUUUUGUGUAUUAAAUUACAUGAGCAACAUUGUUAAAUAAAUAAUGUUAGACGUUCUUAUGUGAUGUAGGAAGUUAAGGAUCUGGUGUUGUCACUGCAGUGGCUUCGAUUGCUGCUGUGGCAUGGGUUCGGCGUGGGUUUGAUCUCUGGCCUGGGAACUUCCACAUGCUGCUGGCAUGGCCAUAAAUAAAUAAAUAAAUAAAUAAAAUGUCCAGACUCUGAUUCCUUACAAUAAGCUCCAACAAAGCUGGCUUAAAAGAGCUUAUGUAUGGUCAGUCAUUAUUCUUGCUACACUUUCAUAAAUAAUCAGGCCAAAUUUAUUAAAGCUAGACUUAAUUUGCAAACAGCUUGGUCUUAUUAUGUCUUAUUGGUCUUAUUAUUAUCUCUAUCUUUGAUAAAAAUGAGGGUAAUUAUAAGAGAGAAAAAUUAUGUUUCAGUAGAUAUUAUAAUACAUAUUUAUAGAUAUUAAAUUCUAGCUUUGUUAAUUUUCUUUGUGGUAUUGUUUUCUACCUGUAAACAGACUAGAUCUUUUUAUUUUUUAAUUUAAUUUUGGAAUUCCAUCGUGGCUCUGCAGAAGUGAAUCUGGCUAAUAUCCAUGAGGAUGCAGGUUUGAUACCUGACCUCACUCAGUAGGUUAAGGAUCCUGAGUUGCCAUAAGCUGAAGUGUAGGUCCCAGAUGUGGCUUGGAUCCCUCAUUGCUGUAGUUGUGGUGUAGGCCGGCAGCAGCUACAACUCCAAUUUGACUCCUAGCCUGGGAACCUUCAAAUGAUGUGGGUGUGGCCUUUAAAAAAAAAAAAAAGACAAAAAAAUUUAAUUUAAUUUUAUUGGAGUAUAGUUGAUUUACAAUAUUGUUUUAUUUCCGUUUCAGGUGUACAGCAAAGUGAAUCAGUCAUACGUAUAAAUAUGUCCAUUCUUUUUUCCCAUAUAUAUUACUACAAACUACUGAGUAGAUUUUCCUGUGCUAUACAAUAGGUUCUCUUUAAUCAUCUAUUUUAUUUUUUAUUUUUUUAUUUAUUUUUUGUCUUUCAGGGCUGCACCCAUGGCAUAUGAAGGUUCCCAGGCUAGGGGUUGACCAUAAGUCUACACCACAGCCACAGCAAUGCCAGAUCCGAGCUGAGUCUACACCAUAGCUCACAGCAACGCCGGAUCCUUAACCCACUGAGCAAGGCCAAGGAUCAAACCUGCGUCCUCAUGGAUACUAGUCAGAUUUGUUUCUGCUGUGCCAUGUUGGGAACUCCUUAAUCAUCUAUUUUAUACAGUAGCGGGUCUAUAUCAUUCCCACCCUCCCACUUCUUCCCUCCCCCCAAUGGUUUCACCUAUGGAAAACAUAAGAUUGGUUUUGAAAUCUGUGAGUUUCUUUCUGUUUUAUAAAUAAGUUCGUUUGCGUCUUUUUUUAAAUUAGAUUCCACAUUUAAGUGAUAUGAUAUUUUUCUUUCUCUGUCUGAUUUACUUCAUUCAGUAUAAUUAUCUCUAGGUCCAUCCCGUUGCUGCAAAUGGCAAUAUUUCAGUCUACUUAAUGGCUGCAUAGUAUUCCAUUGUAUAUGUACCACAUCUUUUUUUUUUUAGCACUGCACCUGAGGCAUAUGGUGGUCGUUCCCAGGCUAGUUAUAGCUGCUGGCCUACUCCACAGCCGCAGUAAUGCCAAAUCCAAGCCACGUCUGUGACCUACACCAUAGCUCAUGGCAACGUCGGAUCCUUAACCCACUGAUCAAGGCCAGGGGUUGAACCCACAUCCUCAUGGAUACUAGUUGGAUUCAUUUCCGGGCCACAAUGGGAACUCCUAUACUUAGUUUUUUAAGGAUCCUCCAGACUGUCCUCCAUAGUGGUUGCACAAAUUUACAUUCCUACCAAUAGCAUAGGAGGGUUCCCUUUUCUCCAUACCCUCUCCAGCAUUGUUUGUAGACUUUUUUUUAAUUUAGAUUUUUAGGGCUGGACACAUGGCAUAUGGUUCCCUGGCUAGGGGUCGAAUUGGAGCUGCAGCUGCCGGCCUACACCACAGCCACAGCAACACCAGGUUGGAGCCACAUCUGCGACCUACACCACAGCUCUCAGCAACACCAGAUCUUUAGCCCAUUGAGCGAGGCCAGGGAUCAAACCCACAUCCACGUCCAUGCUAGUUGGGUUCAUUUCCACUGUACCACAAGAGGAACUGGUUUUCUGGGUUUUUUUUUUUUUUUUUUUUUGUAAGCAAGAAAUAGAUUAAGAUAGGACUCUUGUGAGAGAUGCAAGUGGGGCAGGCAAGGAGGGUCUGCCCUGAGGAUUAGGUGGGUGAGCUACAGUUUUAUCACCCAAGGGGAGUGUGAGUGGGAAAAGACUCCUUCUUCCUUUCUGGGAGUAGUAGCUCCUCCUUGGUAUCAGUAUUCAAAUCAGCUGAAGGGAGGUCCUUAAAUUCCUGUCCUUGGUCUGAACCUGAAUGCAGGCCUCAUCCCACCCCCCACCCAAUAACCUGAGGCAAUUCUUGUGCCUCCACUGCUAAAGCAAGCCGGCCUUGUUCUCAUGGAUUUCUUGAGCAAUUAUUAACUUAGAGUGAUUUCCCAAAGUUCCCUAGGUUUCCCUCUCUGUCUGUGAACCAUUAUUGGGACUUCUACAGCUACCUGUGCCUGCCCCAUCCCUGUCAUGUCCCCUUCCAGGUGUUUGACCCCUUUGUGCUUAAAGGGGAUAGUGGAUGACAACCGUUCAGUAACUGCUGAGACAGGGCCCUGGCAUAGGCCUGCCUAGAGAAGGAGUAAAACGCCUGGCUAGCUGUCCCUUUUCUGUUGGGAGGGCCUUAAGCCAGUGUUGUUCUGGUUAACAUUAUUUUCCCAGCCACCUUAGAGAUUAAAUAGUGUAUGCUGAAACCAAUAGCACCAGAAGGACCAGUGCUUCUACAAGCACCUUUGGGUCCAGGAGCACCAAUGUUACCAGUGGGGCCAGGGGGCCCAGGUUCACCUUUAGCAUCAGGUUGGCCAUCAGCGCCAGGGAGUCCAGGCAGGCAGCAGGUCCGGGUUCACCUUGGGCUCCUCACUUUCCUUCUCCAGCAGGGCCAGAGGGGCCUUGAACAGCAGUGGGACUGGGCUCUCCCUUGGAGCCAGUGCCUCCUUUGCUGCUGGGAGCAGCAGGUUCACUGCACUUACCAUUGGGGCCAGGGGAGCUGCUGGUGCCUGAGGUCCAGAGAGGCUCCUCAGGCUCCUUGGGGAUCAGCUUCACCCUUAGCACCAAUAGCACCAGGGAAGCCAGGGGAACCACUAGGGCCAGUGGGACCAGGGGGUCCAGCAGCACCAGUAGCAUCAUCAUUUCUAUAAGGACCAGGGGGUCCAGUGUGACCUUUCUCACCAGGCAGACCAUGGGGGCCCAUCUGACCAGGAGCUCCAUUUUAACAAGGCUACCAGGCUUUCCAACUUUACCAUUCUUGCCAAGGGGGUUGGGGGACCAUGGGGACCCAUGGGACCUACAGCUCCAGGCUCCCCGGGGGUGCCUUAGUAACCUUAGGGACCAGGUGUGCCAGAGGGGCCAGUGUCUUCUUUGGGUUUUUCGACUCCUGUGGUUUCCUGGUCGUGGAUGGCACCUCAUCUUUGGGGAACCCUUUCUCUAUGCAUGAGUUAGGGUCUUAACAGUAUUCUCAUCUGCCUCUGAUUUUAAGGGGUACUGCUUUUUGCAGGGAUAUUCCUGCCCAGGUCCCAACCGGAUAUCUUUGGCCAAGCCUGAAACCCGGAUAUUCUACACUCCAGGGUCCCCUAAGGCUUCUACCUCAGCUUCAGAUUCAAUCAGUUCCUCUCUGUUUUCUGUUAGAACCAUUUGGUGAUGAGGGUGGUUCCCUUGUUUUGUGAGAAACAGAGUGACCCCCAACUAAUUAAUAAAUCUCUUUUUAUUAAAGCGAUGGGACAGUCAGGCUCAAACAGAAAGGAAUGUAAAAGCAGCUGGCCAUUGACACUGCACAAAAGGGGCUCCAGGAAAGUGUGCCCUCACCUUUUCCCUGAUGGCCUAUCACGUACUCUUUAUGAUUACCAAGGUUUCCAAUCCUUUGGGUUAAGACCCAGAAGGUUGCACCAGUAUCUGUAAGAAAUUCUAUUAAGUGGCCUGCCACACCAAUAAUCACCCUGGGCAUUUGUUAUAUAGACGGUAUCUCUAAGAAGAGCCACUUUUGGCCUGGGCCCCCUUGGUCUUCUGAUUGCAAAAGCAUCAAUGGCUGAGGGGCCCCUGUAGAUUUCUGUCAUCUGGGGCAUUCCCUCUUCCAGUGCCCUGGCUGUUUGCAGAAGGAACAUUGAUCACAAUCUUCUCUCUGGUGCCCCCCGCCCCCUUUUAGGGCUACAUCUGCGGCAUAUAUUGCUUCCCAGGCUAGGGGUCAGAUUGGAGCUACGGCUUCCAGCCACAGCCUUAGCAACAUCAGAUCUGAGCCACAUCUGUGACCUACACCACAGUUCACAAUAACACCGGAUCCUUAACCCACUGAGUGAGGCCAGGGAUCAAACCCAAAACCUCAUGGUUCUUAAUUGGAUUCGUUUCCACUGCACCAUAACAGGAACUCCCUCUGGUGCCCCUUUUGUCCACACAGGAUACACUGGUCCUGUCUAGGUACCCAUGGGCCUAGAGAUCUGCCAGGGCCGGAUUGACCCAGAAAAGCCAGCCUCUGCAUUGGUAGUCUCUGAGCAGACGAGGCCACUGCAAUCAUUUGAGCCUUUUGCAUAUUUCUCUGGGUGCAUUCAGCCUUUUCAGCCACAUCCCUAUUAUUGAAAACUGAAUAAGCCAAUUGGAGCAAAUUGUUCACUGGAGUCUGAAGACCAGUGGUUACUUUCUAAAGUUUGUGCCUGAUGUCUGGGGCAGACUGGGCUAUGAUAUGCAGAGCCAAAAGGGCCUGUCCUUUGUGGGAGGAGGGAUCCACGUUUGUAUACUUCCUAAAAGCCUCCACUAGUCUUCCUUAGGAGAAUGCAGGAUUUUCAUCCUGUCCCUGAUGGACCUCUUUCACCUUUUCAUGAUUUGUAGGUUUUACUGUAAGUUUCUUCAUACCCUCUAUUAAACAAUUAAUCAUAUGAUCCCAUCCAUCUCUAUCAAUAGAAUUCAUCUGGUAGUUCCAUUGUGGAUCUGCCCCAGGAGCAGCAUCAUUCCCCACCUGGUGCACUGCCUGGCCCUGUCAGGCCCAGGCUGCCAGUUGGUCUGCUUGGGCUCUGGCCACCAGUAUUAUAUGCUGCUUUUCCUCAGGGGUGCAGCAGGGGGAGAGUAAGAUCUGUAAAUCCCCCCAGCUGAGAACAAAAGAUCUCACUUAGGUAAACCCCUUUGUAAAGCUUUCAGGAUCCUCAGAAAAACUUUCCCACUUGUCGUCUGUCAUACUUAGAUCAGACAUUGAUAAAGGUCUCUAAUUUUCCCCUGAUUUACAUCAGGAACUUCUCUUAGAGGCCAAACCAUAGGGGCAGUUCGUUGGUAAUUUAAACCACUGCAAGUGCUAGCCGGGCUAAGGAUGGGUCCCUCAGGGCAACUCAGGAUAAAAAGAAAAUUUUUCUGAAUUUGCAGGGGGCUCUUUUCAUCCCAAGCUCUGUCAAUAGCCUCCCACCUGGGGGGUGCCGCAGACCCAACUCUGAGGUGAUUUCUCUAACUCCGUAUUAUCCAAAUUCCACUCUUAUGUCAAAAUCCACCCUGCAAUUUGGUCAAGAUGUGCAUUUAUUAUUUUAGAUGUUAUCCCUUCCAAGGUAGUCUCCCAACCAGAUACUAGUGCCCGAGAAGUUGCCAACAGAAGGUGUCCCCAACACUGUCCACAAUGGGUGGGAGCUGGUCUGACUGUAAACUGGGAAUAAACUAUUACCACCCACAAGGGCUGGCUGCACACUGUGAAUAAAGCGUUAGCACCUGCAAGGGUUGGGGCAAUAAAAAUUAUGCCUUGGUGGUCACACAGGUCUUUCUGGGGUUAAUAGUAGAGAGAAGGGAAUAGAGCAGGAAAGAACAUAGAAAAACUUCAGAAUCGAGGAGAAGAAGGUGGAGAUUAGGAGUUCUGUCCUGAAUGUGCCUGAAGCUGCUGUUCUAGGACCAAGACCUAACUCUUAACAUUGUCUUGCCUUAUCACUGUCCCUUUGUGGUCUGACACCUGAAACUGACAGCAUUAAUGGCCUGAACCUAGCCAGAACCCAGAUUGGGACUUGAACCUACAGUUUUUAAUUAGAAUCACUCACCCAAUGUCUGGAGUUACUGAGGUGCAGUUUCUUAAUGCCUCUGUACAGAAGGAAUUCAGCGAGAGACAAAGUGAUAGGCAAGAAAUAGAUCUAUUAAGAUAGGAUGCUUGUGAGAUGCAAGCAGGCAGGCAAGGAGGCUCUGCCAAUAGGAACUCCUGUUUGUAGACUUUUUGAUAAUGGCCAUUCUGAUUGAUGUGAGGUGAUACCUUAUUGUAGUUUUGACUUGUAUUUCCCUAAUGAUUAGCAGUGUUGAACUUUUUCAUGUGCUUUUUAACCAUCUGUAUAAGACAUAAGACUUUGGAGUAGUGUCUUUAGAUCUGCUCAUGUUUUGAUUGGGUUUUUUUGUUUGUUUGUUUGUUUGUUUUUAUAUUGAGCUGUGUCAGUUGUUUGUGUAUUUUGAAGAUUAAUCCCUUGUUGGUUGCUUUGUUUGCAAAGAUUUUCUCCUCUUCUGUGGUUUGUCUUUUCUUUCUUUUUUUUUAAUGGUUUCCUUUGCUGUGCAAAAGCUUUUAAGUUUAAUUAGGUCCCCUUGGUUUAUUUAUUUAUUUUUUCCUUUUCAUUAUUCUAGGAGGUGGAUCAACCAAUAUAUUGCUGCGAUUUAUGUCAAAUAAUAUUCUGCCUAUGUUUUCUUCUAGGAGUCUUAUAGUAUCUGGCCUUAUGUUUAGGUUGUUUAUCUAUUUUGAGUUUAUUUUUGUAUAUGGUAUUAGAGAACAUUCUAAUUUCAUUCUUUUAUUUUGAUUGAUUGUCUUAUGGCUGCACCCUCAGCAUAUGGAAGUUCCUAGGCUAGGUGUCUAAUUGGAGCUGUAGCUGCCUAGCUCCUGCACAGCCAGCUACAGCAAUGCCAGAUCUGAGCUGCAUUUGCGACCUAUAGAGCAGCUCACAGUAACGCUGGAUCCUUAACCCACUGAGUGAGACCAGGGAUUGAAACCAUGUCCUUGUGUAUACUAGUUGGGUUCAUUACCACUGAGCCACAACAGGAACUCCUAAUUUCAUUCUUUUACAUGUAACUGUCCAGCUCUUCCAGCACCAUUUAUUGAAGAUACUGUCUUCCCUCCAUUGUAUGUUCUUGACUCCUUUGUCAUAGAUUAGUUGACCAUAGGUGCUUGGGUUUAAUUCUGGGCUUUCUAUCAUGUUCCAUUAAUUUGUAUUUCCAUUUUUUGUUCAAGUACCAUACUGUUUUGAUGACUAUAGCUUUGUAGUAUAGACUUAAGUGAAGGAGCCUGAUUCCUUUGGUUCCGUUUUUCUUUUUCAAUAUUGCUUUGGCUGUUUGGGGUCUUUUGUGUUUCCAUGCAAAUUUUAAAAUAUUUUGUUCUAGUUCUGUGAAGAAUGUACACUGGUAGAUUGAUAGGGAUCUCAUUGAUUUGGCAUAUUGUCUUGGGUAGUAUUGUCAUUUUGACAAUAUUGAUUCUUCUCAUCCAAGAACAUGAUAUAUCUUUCCAUCUGUGUUACUUUUUAUUUCCUUCAUCAGCAUCUUAUAUUUUUCAGAGUACAGGUCUUUCGUCUCUUUAGGUAGUUUUAUUCCUAGGUAUUCUUUUUGAUAUGAUGGUAAAUGGGAUUGUUUCCCUAAUUUCUCUUUCCGAGCUUUUAUUGUUAGUUAUAUAUACAAUAGAUUUCUGCAUAUUAAUUUUGUGUCCUGAAACUUUACUAAAUUCAUUGAUGAGCUCUUAUAGUUUUCUGGUAGCAUCUCUAGGAUUCUUGAUGUAUUGUAUCAUGUCAUCUGCAAACAGUGAUUGUUUUACUUUUUCUUUUACAAUUUGGAUUCCUUUUACCUUUUUCCCUUCUCUUAUUGCUGUGGGUAGGACUUCCAAAACUAUGUUGAAUAACAGUGGUUAGAGUGGAAAGCCUUGUCUUGUUCCCUAUCUUAGAGGAAAUGCUUUUCAGUUUUUCACUAUUGUGAAUGACGUUAGCUGUGGGUUUGUCACAUAUGGCUUUUAUUAUGUUGAGGUUUUUUGCCCACUUUCUGGAGAGUUUUUAUCAGAAAUGGGUGUUGGAUUUUGUCAAAAGCUUUUUUGGCAUUUAUUGAGAUGUUCGUAUGGUUUUUAUUCUUCAUGUGGUGUAUCACAUUUACUGAUUGUGAAGGUGUUGAAGAGUCCUUGUAUCCCUGGUAUAAAUCCCACUUGAUCAUGGUGUAUGAUCCUUUUACUAUAUUGUUGGAUUUGGUUUGCUGAUAUUUUGUUGAGGAUUUUUGCAUCUAUAUUCAUCAGUGAUAAUGGCCUGUAAUUUUUUUUUUUUUAGUGAUUUUUUUUUUUUUUUCUGGUUUUGGUGUCAGGGUGAUGGUGGCCUCAUAGAAGGAGCUUGGGAGUAUCCUUGCUCUGCAAUUUUUUUGGAAGAGUUUAAACUGACUAGACCUUAAAUUCUAGUUUCCUCCAAUAUCUGAUAACAACGUUCUAAACUAAAGUUUCCAUUUAUCUUCCCCCUUCAGGCUUAAAAAUCACUGAGGCCUAACUCUACACUUUUUCUGAAGCCAUGUAAACUAAGGUUGGACCACUUGAUUUAAACUUCAGAGAAAACGCCACAACAGCUUACAUGUGGAUAAUCUUCAUGCCUGUUGUUAUGUGACCACUUGGAAAGGACAAGAGAGACAUUCAAAUUAUAAACCAGGGGAGUUCCCGUUUUUGGCACAGCAGAAACGAAUCUGACUAGGGGCCAUGAGGUUGCAGGUUUAAUCCCUGGCUUCACUCAGUGGGUUAAGGAUCCGGCGUUGCCAGGAGCUGUGGUGUAGGUCACAGAUGUGGCUCGGAUCCUGUGUUGCUGUGGUUCUGGCAUAGGCUGGUGGCUACAGCUCUGAUUAGACCCCUAGCCUGGGAACCUCCUUAUGCUGUGGGUGUAGCCCUGAAAAGACAAAAAAGAUUAAAAAAAAAAAAAAAAAA
ensembl:lncRNA